rnacentral:lncRNA from 1 species
UUUUUCUUUUCUUUCUGGAAUUCCUAUUAUGUGUAGAUUGGCCCGCUUUAUAUUACCCCACAGGUCUAUUAUAUUGCUUUCAUGUUUUUUCAUUUGGUUUUGUGUCUGCUGUCCUGUUUGGGUGAUUUCCAUCAUUCUAUCUUUCAAGUCACUAAUUCGUUUCUCUGCAUUAUUCAUUCUGGUUUUUACUGCCUUUAGCUCAGUUUGUAACUCUGGAAAUGAAUUUUCUAGUUUUUCUUGGCUCCUCUUUAUAUUUUCUAGUUUCUUUCUGAGGGAGUCUGUAUUACUGUUCAUAUCUUCUCUUAAUUCCUUCAGUAUUUUUACUAUCUCCCUUUUGAACUCCAAGUCUGUCAGACUGCAGAGGUCUUUUUCAUUGUUCACUGCUUUAGGUGAAUUCUCAUGUUGCUUUAACUGGGAAUGGUUUCUGAGCUUCUUCAUCUUGCUUGUGUUUUUCUUUUUCUAUGAAUUUGGGGAAGCCAAACUGUAGUUUAGCACAGUCCGGGGCAUGCCGCUGUGGUGGUGCACUUCCUGUGUCUGGGCAGGUCUCGCCGGGGCAUGCCAUGGCUGCAGGGCACUUCCCAAGGGCAGGCAGCAGUGCUACCUGGAUCACUCUGUGGCAGCAGGGCUCUUCCUGAGGCCUGGCAGGGCUUGUAGAUGUGCACCACAGUGGAAGUGCACUUCCUGUGGCUGGGCAGGGCUUGCUGGGGUGUGCCCACACAGAGGGGAACUUCCCAAGGGUGGGUGGGGCUGGCCUGGUCUCUUCGUGGCAGCAGGGCACUUUCCAAGGAUGGGUGGAGCUGGCCGGUGCAUACUGUCGUGGCGGUGCACUUCCCUAUACUGGGAGGGGCUUGCCAGACCAUGCCGAGGCAGUGGGGCACUUCCCAUGGGCGGGCAGUCCUGGCCGAGGAAUGCCAUGGCAGUGGUUGCCUUCCUGUGGGUGGUGGGACCUGUCUUCCCUGGAUGGCAGGUGGCUUCUGGCCAGGCCGGCGCACAGCAUGGAGUGGAGGGUUGUGCUGGGAAUGCACUGCUCUCUGUUAGCUAGCGGGGAAGCAGGCACCUUGGGGCACAAGGAGUAUUCUAUGGUGGUCCACCCCUCCUCCCGCCCCUCCCCAGAAAUGGCUCCUUAUCUCUCCUGUGGGUCUGAACCUUCUCCCCGUUUCCCUCUGUUGUGGCUUUCCACUCCCCAGCCCUUACCAUAUUGCUGUUCUGCCCACAGUACACCACUUCCUAGUCCCUUAGGCUGUCUCCACACUGCCAACCCCAUCCUGCUUCCAGGGACUGACCUCCAUAGCCUAGGUCUCGGUGCCCAGCCACCACCUGAGUGUCUCAGUCUUUGGUGUCUGUGCCUGUGGUUCAGAUAAUCUGUGCAGCUCUCACUCUGCUUUUUCACUUCUCAAACCUACUACCGUGCUUUUCUUGGUGUCUUGGAGAACCCUCCGACUCAGCUGAUCUUUCCAUCCGUUAGCUGGCUUGUGGGGUGUAGGUUCCCUUUCCUCUUCACAGCUCCCUCUGAGGAGUGCUAGUCCCAUCCUGAUUCCCCUUCUCUCUCUCUCUCCUCUUUUCUUUUUAUCCAGUUAUGUCAAGAGAUUCUUGCCAUUUUUGGAAGUUUAAGUUCUUCUGCCAGCAUUCAGUUGCUAUUCUGUGUGAGUCGUUAUAUGUGUAGAUGUGUUUUUUGGGUGGGUGUUUGUGGGAGAGGGUGAGCACAUCUCCCUAUUCUUCCACCAUCUUGUCUCCAACUGUCAAAAAAAGUUUAUUUUAGCAUGUGCUAAAAAAAAAAAAUGUUAGGGCCAGCACCCUGCCAGGAUCUUUGUGCCACCAAAUGCUGUCCUUGUUCUUGCCUUCUAUUCCCAUAUUUACCAUCAUUUCCAAAAGUGAUCCACACCCACAUCUUCUACCUACUUCAUAACAUUCAGUAUAUUGCACUCUGUCUCACUGAAAUUGCUCCCUAAAUCACUCAUGAUCCCUAUUCUUCUGCCCACAAAGCCUUCUGUAAUAAUUCCAGCUCACUCUGCCCUGCCAUGUCUUGACUCUGCCAUAACACUUUCUGUCUCCUUCUUCUUGGUACAUAGUUUAAUACUUAGAUUAUUCAAAAAAUGUUUCAGGUACAUAUAUUGAUCUGUCAUAACCAAAAAUCUUUUUCCUCAAAAAGCAUGCAGAUAGAGGUCAAACGCUAGACUUGCUGGAGCCACAGUAAUCAAAAAGUUAUGUUGAAAGAGCCAAUGUUAUUCCUGUGAGUGUGAGAUAGUCUAGGACAAAAUACCUAUUUCUGAUUGUCUACAAGAUGAUCAAUUACAACUUUUCAUUGAUGAAUAUACAUACACAUAACCACAUGCAUAUGUGUGUGUACACAUAUGUACAUAUGCACACAUGCAAACAACUACACUGAGCAUACAAUUAUCACUAUCUAUUCAAAAUCAGUGGUUGUGGUUAUAGUGAGGUGGGGUGAUAAUUUCCUUUCCUUUUUUAAAAGAUUAAACACAUUCAUACAUUUCAUUUUUGUUUCUCUUUUAUACAACACCAAACAUGUUUGCUUUGGCUUCUCUUCUAAUCUAAUUAUUUUGAUCAUCUAUAUUUUUGCAAUCAAAUCCUGGAAGGGACCAGAAUAUUUUGACAUUGGUGAAGUUGCAAAAUAUUUUCCUGCAAACCUUUUGUCUUCAGCCAGAUUUGCCUCAGUGUGGUUUUCUCUGCUGGAGAUGCUCAUUCCACAUUCAUUCAAUACACACAGACUGACAGCUUACUCUGUGCCAGGUACAAUAUAAGAUAUUGUGAGUAAAAUGAUUAAUAAAACAGACAUGGCCCCUGCACUUAUGGGGUCACAAUCUAGUGACUGUAAGCAGAAAAAAUAGCCACUAUUUACAGGAUAUAAUUGUAAAGAUAUAUGUUAUGGAUGCAUAUAGAAGAGGUGACUGACUGAGUCGCUAGAAGUCAGGUAAAGUUUCCUGGAGGGAAUGAUGCUUGGUUGAGGUUUCAGAAUAAAUAAGAUUUGGAAAGGCCAAGGAGGAUGGGAAAGGAUUGACAGAAGAAAUGUGACAUUAGAUUUGACAGUCCUGGAAUUCUGGUAUCACUGCAAACUGACAUGUUAGAAACAUGGCUUCAUUCUUCUCUUACAAAGCCUUCCUUUGCUUCUCUGAAACAUAGGCUCUUCUAUCCUGUGAAUUCAACAGAAUGUGUUGCCUACAUCUGUCUUCUGGUAUUUCUGUGCUACCAGAAAUCAGAGUAAUUUUUCCUAUAGGUGAGCUGGUUAGGACCACAGGCUCUCGGUUAAGAGUCCCUGGGUUUGCUCUCGGAUUGAAUUCCUACUAUGAUACCUCACUACUUAUUACUCUCUCUAGAAGUUUCAGUUUUACUUUCUAUAAAAUAUGAAUAAUAAUACCUGCUUUCCAGGGUUGUUAUUGUAAAGGUUAAAUGAGCUCAUAAAUGCAACAGUGCAUGCAUUAUUGUUAAGCAUCAAUAAAAAUAUUAAUUAUUACUAAUAUGUGUGCAUGCCAUAGUUUCCCAGGGAAAUUGUAAGUUCCUAGAAAGAAAAACUAAGUUUUAACCAAAAAAGGCUAAGAGUUUUCCACAGAAAACUGUAUUCAAUAAAUCCC